GUUUUGUAAGUCAUUGGUUCCUAUAUUUCUUUCUGUAUCAUUCACCAGGUAUAUAAUGCUUAAUUGAGGAGCUUCCCCUUUACAGCCCCUUCUUAAAAGGCUUGUUUUGCGGCAAACAAAAGCCUGUAGGUGUUCAUGAAUAGCGUGAACCAGUCAUGAUUGAAUUUGGUAGCUCUCUCUGCAAGUAGUUUCAUGUUUUGCUGGUCACUGUUACCAACUGAGAGUUUCCACCGUGUGUUCCACCUCCAUGUUCAUUUUGGAAAUGCGGAAAGGGUCAUUCUGGUUCUUCCGGCUGUGAGAGGUGUAAACAAAAUGGCGUCAAUAUUUGUGAACAAAUAAUGAAGAGGAUGGAGAUGAACACACAGGUCAUGUAUGACUACUUGAAGGCGAGACAGAGAUAUCGCUUGACUGAAGACGUAUCAAACCUUGAGAUGGAAGCAGAAGCUCAGCAGCGUAGGGGUGAAAGAAAGUAGAUUUUUGUAUGGCAGUAAUUACCCGUUCCAGGAAAAGUAUUCAAAAAGAUUUAUUAGUGUGCCUUCACUAAUGCACCUGUAGGCCUAAUAACAAGGAUUGUUGGCUACAGAGAAAAUGAGUGAUUCAUGGUUUCCUAGAAUUUUAAUUUCUUUGUAUUGCUUCAAAAACACUUGACAUCAAGUACUAACGCAAGUUAGCCAAUACAUCAGCUUGGAACAGGAAGGCGCCAGUGAGGAGCAGAAGUUUUGGAAUAUCAUUUUUUUUUUUUUUACCAUAAACUGAGCCAGUUAGGAAGAUUAAAUGCUGUAGGAGGUUUUCUCUUUUUCUUUUUAGGUUUGGUAGUUUGUGCCCCCUACCAAGGAUAGAAAAACAAAGAAAUGAGGGAAAGAAUACAGGGAGCAAACGCAGUGGAACCAACGAGUUGCAUACACUAAACAUCUCAGCAGAAUUAGAGAAGGAUGGACAAAAACAAGGGGACCUGGAGGCCUGCUUGCACACACCACAUUCAGAUUACACACCAGUGUUUUACCAGUCUGGAGUUUAUUUAGCCACUAGCCCUCUCCAUUUCUUUAAGACAAAUUACACUAGAUGUCAAAGAUCCAAGGGUCGGAUCCUCUGAUCGGUCCGUUGCAAAGACAAAACCAACAAAUCUUUUUUUGGUUGCAAUUUAUUUAUUUUUUUAUAGUUUCUGUGUCUAUGUUCACUUUUAUACUCCUUUCUGUAGAUGUUGAGGUGUUUUUCUAAGCAAUGAUGUCUGAAAAUGCUGUUUAUUUUUUUAUUGUGAAUGUCUUAUUCCGACACCCAUUGUAUUGAAAUUUAAGCUCGUUACCUUUUGUAUUUAUUGUUGUAAUGAAAGUUUUACUAAUGUCUCUAGUGUGCAUAAAGUACAGCAGGAUAAAGUGCUUUUGUUUCCUUCCCUCA